rnacentral:rRNA from 1 species
UAGCUACUUGCAUCAUUGUAAAAAUGAUGCAGGAUCGACUAUGUCGAAUAAAAUUCUAGGUAGAAUUUUGAUAAUGACAUUGUCUGCCUAUGUGUCUUGACCAAAUUACGUGCCAGCAGUCGCGGUAAUACGUAGAAGACUAGUGUUAUUCAUGUUUAAUCGGUUUAAAGGGUACCUAGACGGUAAAUCAAGCCUAAAAUUAAGUGAAGGGACUAAUUUACUAGAGUUACUUAUGAGGGGGUAUUAAAGUACUGCUGGUGUAGAGAUGAAAUUCUGUCAUACCUCUUUUCAAUAGAAAAAUAAUGGCACAGGUAUAGGCGAAAGCAUCCCCUUAUGUGAUAACUGACGUUGAGGGACGAAGGCUUUGUGUAGCGAACAGGAUUAGAUACCCCAGUAGUCAAAGCAGAAAAUGAUGAAUGUCAUAGAUUAGAUAAAUAAGUUUAUUCUAUAAAUGAAAGUGUAAGCAUUCCACCUCAAGAGUAAUUUGGCAACAUUGGAACUGAAAUCAUUAGACCGUUUCUGAAACCAGUAGUGAAGUAUGUUGUUUAAUUUGAUGAUCCGCAAAAAACCUUACCACAAUUUGAAUAUUUAUAUCUUUUAUUGUUUUUUUUUAUUUUUCUUCUGAUUUUCAUUGUAUGAUUUUCUUCUUAUUCUAUUUGCAUGUGCAUGCACAUGCAAAAGAACGAAAUUGAGCUAAUCCCCCAAAACUGGAAAA